rnacentral:sRNA from 1 species
ACAUGAUCAAGCACAAGUACAUUC